AUUCCAGCUCCAAUAGCGUAUAUUAAAGUUGUUGCAGUUAAAAAGCUCGUAGUUGGAUUUCUGGUGAGUUCGUUUGGCCGGCCGUAAAGGUCUGUGCCGAAAUGUUAUUCGCCAUCCUUGGUGUAAUCUUGUCCGCCAUUAAGUUGUGUGGGCUUGAGGAUGCCAUCGUUUACUGUGAAAAAAUUAGAGUGUUCAAAGCAGGCUUAUGCCGUUGAAUACAUUAGCAUGGAAUAAUAAGAUAGGACCCUGGUACUAUUUUGUUGGUUUGCGUACCUAGGUAAUGAUUAAUAGAGACAGUUGGGGGUAUUUGUAUUCCAUAGUCAGAGGUGAAAUUCUUGGAUUUAUGGAAGACAAACUAAUGCGAAAGCAUCUACCAAGGAUGUUUUCAUUA
rnacentral:rRNA from 1 species